UACGUAGGGGGCUAGCGUUGUCCGGAAUCAUUGGGCGUAAAGAGCGUGUAGGCGGCCCGGUAAGUCCGCUGUGAAAGUCGGGGGCUCAACCCUCGAAUGCCGGUGGAUACUGUCGGGCUAGAGUGCGGAAGAGGCGAGUGGAAUUCCUGGUGUAGCGGUGAAAUGCGCAGAUAUAAGGAGGAACACCAAUUGCGAAGGCAGCUCGCUGGGACGUAACUGACGCUGAGACGCGAAAGCGUGGGGAGCAAACAGG
rnacentral:rRNA from 1 species